rnacentral:rRNA from 1 species
AUAUAUAGGAUAUACAGGUGAUUUAAAAAGAAGGUUUAAAGAACAUAAUCAAACAAAGACCGGAUAUACCCAAAAAGGUAAAUGGGAAUUGAUAUAUUAUGAAGGAUACAAAAACCAACAAGAUGCACAAGAAAGAGAAAAACAGUUAAAAAAUCACGAACAAGCCAAAAGAUGGUUAAAAGAAAGAAUAAAAAGAAGUCUUAAUGAAUGAAGUUGAGUGCUGGUGGUAGAAGAGCAUCGUAUGAUAGGGAGAAGGAGGAUUGAAAAAGACUCUGGACGAAAUACGAGAGAGAAUGUUGGCAUGAGUAGCGAGAUGUGUGUGAGAAUCACACAGGCCGAAAACCCAAGGAUUUCCAAGGAAGGUUCGUCCGCUUGGAGUAAGUCGGGACCUAAGGAGAGGCAGAAAUGCGUAUCUGAUGGACAACAGGUUAAGAUUCCUGUACCUACGCUUAUCGCCAAAGAGGAGAAGGAAUGACGCAGGAGGAUAAGAUCAGCGCACGGCUGGAAGAGUGCGUCCAAGCAGUAAGGCAGGCAUAUAGGCAAAUCCGUAUGCUAAUAAUGUUAAGCUGUGAUGGGGAGAGAAGUUAAGUAUCGAAGGAUCUGAUUUCACACUGACAGGAAAAGUUUCUAUCCAGAUAAGAGUAGCCCGUACCGUAAACCGACACAGGUGGGAGAGGUGAGAAACCUAAGGCCAGCGAGAGAACUGUUGUUAAGGAACUCGGCAAAAUGACCCCGUAACUUAGGGAUAAGGGGUGCCUUAGAGAUAAGGCUUCAAGAAAAAGGCCCAAGCGACUGUUUACCAAAAACAUAGGUCUCUGCGAAACCGCAAGGUGAAGUAUAGGGGCUGACGCCUGCCCGGUGCUGGAAGGUUAAGAGGAGAUGUCAGGCAACGAAGCAUUGAAUUUAAGCCCCAGUAAACGGCGGCCGUAACUAUAACGGUCCUAAGGUAGCGAAAUUCCUUGUCGGGUAAGUUCCGACCCGCACGAAAGGCGUAACGAUUUGGGCACUGUCUCAACAACAGACUCGGUGAAAUUGUAGUACCGGUGAAGAUGCCGGAAACCUGCGACAGGACGGAAAGACCCCAUGGAGCUUUACUGUAGCUUAGUAUUGAAUUUAUGUAAUUAAUGUACAGAAUAGGUGGGAGGCUGAGAGAUUAGGUCGUCAGAUUUAAAGGAGCCGCCUUUGGGAUACCACCCUUUGAUUAUGUGAGUUCUAACCGGAAUCUUUGAAGCAAGGUACGGGACAGUGCUUGGCGGACAGUUUGACUGGGGCGGUCGCCUCCCAAAGAGUAACGGAGGCGUCCAAAGGUUCCCUCAGCAUGGUCGGAAAUCAUGCGAAGAGUGCAAAGGCAAAAGGGAGCUUGAUUGCGAGACCAACAAGUCGAGCAAAGACGAAAGUCGGGCUUAGUGAUCCGGUGGUAGAAAGUGGAAUUGCCAUCGCUCAACGGAUAAAAGCUACCCUGGGGAUAACAGGCUGAUCUCCCCCAAGAGUUCACAUCGACGGGGAGGUUUGGCACCUCGAUGUCGGCUCAUCGCAUCCUGGGGCU